CCUACGGGUGGCAGCAGUAGGGAAUCUUCCACAAUGGGCGAACGCCUGAUGGAGCAACGCCGCGUGGGUGAAGAAGGUCUUCGGAUCGUAAAACCCUGUUGUUAGAAAAGAAAGUGCGUGAGAGUACCUGUUCACGUUUCGACGGUAUCUAACCACAAAGCCACGGCUAACUACGUGCCAGCAGCCGCGGGAAUACGUCGGAGGCAAGCGUUAUCCGUAUUUAUUGGGCGUAAAGGGAACGCAGGCGGUCUUUUAAGUCUGAUGUGAAAGCCUUGGGCUUAACCGGAGUAGUGCAUUGGAUGCGGGGAGACUUGAGUGCAGAAGAGGAGAGUGGAACUCCAUGUGUAGCGGUGAAAUGCGUAGAUAGAUGGAAGAACACCAGGGGCGAAAGCGGCUCUCUGGACUGUAACUGACGCUGAGGUUCGAAAGCGUGGGUAGCAAACAGGAUGAGAUACCCCAGUAGUC
rnacentral:rRNA from 1 species